GUACAUGUGUUGGUUGGUGCAUCUGUGGGUAGUGUGCAAGUAUGCAUAUUAGUAAUGCAUGGGCUUUUGAGCUGUUGCAGUGGGGGCCAAGUGUGCGUGGCUGGGUUGGCGGGCGGGUUUGGGGGGAGAAUAUUUUCUUGGGGGUGAAGAGAGCUUGGGGAUGAAGAGAGCUUGGGGGUGAAGAGAGCUUGGGGAUGAAGAGAGCUUGGGGGUGAAGAGAGCUUGGGGAUGAAGAGAGCUUGGGGGUGAAGAGAGCUUGGGAUUUGUCUGAGGGCGCCUCGCGAGAGCUGUCCUCCCUGGACUUGAGCCGUUCCCCCUCUCCCGGGCCUUACUACCAAGUUGUAUUGAAGCCUGUUCGCCUGUUCACGUCCCAAUAGGACCUGGCCGCUUUCAUUAGUGACGCACGUUCUGCAUUGCUAGACAUAUGAAGGAGGACAGUAGGGACGGCUGGUGCAGGCAGAGCGAUAAUGUGACACUUCCGGUUUUCCUAUGUUAAGGCCUUCCUUCCAGGGCCGGGGCUACCAGCCCUAAUUGCAGGAGAUCUAUCGAUUGCUUAGUUCAGGAAACUGUGAAUUAAGGGGGGGUGUUAGAAUUAUUGGAUUGAAUCAUUUGGACGAAACGUUGGGGUUGCUGCUCCGCUGCUGUUGCUGCUACUGCUGCUGUGACUGCCGCUGAUGCUGUUGCUGAUUGGGUGUGUCAGGGACUGGGUGGUGGCACCGGGGAAGCUGCAACGCUCCCUUUGCUUUAUGCUUCGGUCUUGUGAUGCACACUGGAUUUCAUUCGGCGAACCUUCGCCACGCAGCCAGCUCUUCGUUUGGCGGCCUUGGUUGGUCGGUCUGCAUUUUUGUCUGGCUGUCUGUCUUUGCAUCAUGUUUUUAUGUAUGACUUAGAUUACACUGUGGGCCGCGAGAGCCGGGGGCCGAAGCCGAAACAUCAUGUAUGUAUGUAUGUAUGUAUGUAUGUAUGUAUGUAUGUAUGUAUGUAUGUAUGUAUGUAUGUAUGUAUGUAUGUAUGACGGUGAUUACACUGUGGGCUGAAAAGCCGGGGGCCCAGGGCCGAAACACAGCGCGGGGGGCGGGUGCAUACGGCUGGUUAGUCUUGUGCACUCCGCCCCCGGGUCAGGCCGCACGGGAAACGACGGCCGGCACGCAACAGCGCUCCCCUCCGGGAUUUUGGCGCUCCAGCUAGACGGGAUGUAUGCUUGCUGGUCUCCUAAUAGAAACGAAGUCGCAAUGUAUGUAUGUCUGUCGGUCUCUGGCGUUAGAGAGGGGAAUGAGGUCACACCAGCCUUCUCAACCUACUUGCAUUCCUGCAGCACAUGCAUCGCUGAGCGCGUCGUCCUGUGGAAAGGUUGCCCCCUAACAGGAGACGCACAAGUACAUAAACGCAUACAGAUACACACACCGCGUCAGCAGAUCAUGGAAGCCCUCACCCAUUUCCCUCCCAGUCUUCUCCAUGAAUUGCUUUGGCGCCCCUGCCUGGCUCCGGCUUCUUGUGGCUUUCGGUCGAGCCCAUGGAAGCGAGCGAGCUGACGAGCAUCCCCCUUGAACCGCGUGCCUUGGCUUCAAAUUGGCUGGUGGCAGUGAUGGUGCGAUGUAGGUAGGGCACAUGGCCGUUGGGUUUUCGGUUACAGUGGUGUAGUGGUGGUGGUUUUUCGUCGACCUUCGUUGACACAAACGACUGGGGUGGUUGGUGUGGCGUUGGGGGCGAAUACGGCGACGCCGGCCUGUGCACGCAUUCACGCGCUGUUGGUGCAGGAUGAGUGAUGUUGAGGGCGCGGUUCAGCGUGUUGUUGGGAUAACCUCACGUCACUGAGGGAGAGGGUGUAGCUGAGAAUUGAGGAGCAUUCGCGGCGCUUGAUACUAUGGAGUGCUGUCUGCCUGUUAUAGGGUAGUAAUCCUAGGCGCGAUUUUUCGACAGCUACUCACACUGUCCCAGGCGCCUGCCUUGGCUAUCUACAUAUGUAUUUAAAAAUUAUUAAUAGCAUUUGUUUAAUGGGCAGAGGACAUGAUCUGGGUUGCAACCAGGAUUUCGGAUGGACUAAAAAUCUCGGCGCUGCUGGCUGGAACGAUCUGUAUUAGCCAUUCCUAAGUAGAACAUGGCCCGUUUUAAAUGGGCCAUGUUGGCGAUCCUUCCAAGCACGGCUAUCACGGCAUGGGUGCCCUUACUAACUGCCCAUGUCGUGUUUCGAAGCAACGCUUGACAUGCGUGCACGGACAUAUUGAAGACACACGCACACAUGGGACGUUAUCGUCAUCCAUAUCGAACUCAGGCCUGCGCGCCGCACAGGCUUUACGUCUUGGGGAAGCACAACGAAGGGUUACGUAAGAUUUGUGUUUCGGGUGCGGCAACAUCUGUGUCGUGCGGCUAUCCAGUCAUCUGUGUGUGCGGUACUAAUAGGCACUUGCACGUUAGCUUGAGAUGAGGGCCCUUGUAGGUUUGGCCUUCGCGAUGCCGCUUUCCAAACCUGUUACCAACUGUCCCGGGUGCUCGCAUUGUUCUGCGUGCCUAGCAGUCAUUUCAUAAGCGACACCGCUGCGCCCGAGAGCAAAGAACUUAACUUGACGUGACUUUGACGAUCUUAACGAUUUAGUCAGGUAGGACUCAUGGCAAUGGCAUGUGGUGCGGUACUGGGAGUUACCCGCCGAGUCUUAGAGUUGUAGCUGUUACAGUGGAGACCGACCGGCUCGUGUGCAACGCCCUAAACGAGCAGUCUUAGAGUACUCAGAAACGGGUGUCUGCAUGUCAACAAACGGGGUAUGAAUUGUAGAAUUGUGGUUAUCGUUUUUGCAAAAGUGAGUAUACCGACGCACACAUAUAGACAGGUUUUAUCGGAAAGCAAUUGAAAAGGUUAGCUUGCAAGGAAAGCGCGUCUGACGGUAGUUAAAAAGGUAAUAAACGCGCUGUUGGGCUGACCACGAAGUAUCAGAACGAAGAAAAGCAGAGUACCAAGUAGAGUUUAACGACUCUCACAGGCACGAGUACAUCAUGUCAUGGUGAGACUUUUCUCUCAAAACCGAUAUUAUCACACUGAUAUUGCAGAAAAGUGGGCGCUGGAUAAUCGUCCGAACCGUCGUACGUGUCAUUGAGCACCGUGCGCUGUUUCGCACAUUCAACUAGCGAUACCUGUCUAGUAGCAUAAGCGAAGCUUGAAGCAUACUGGUUUCCUUACCUUUCUUCGACACCUCAACACGGCGCGUGACGGCUGUUAGUCCGAGCAGGUGCUGCCCUUUGCAUUGGUCUGGAGUGAUUUACAAAACUGUGACCUACAAGGACGUGCACGUGGCGGAUAUGGGGUUCUUAGGAUGCAUUCACAGACUGUUGAUGCAAUUGCUGCUUGUGACUUGUAACAGUUGUUCCAUGACAGUUGCUCAACUUGAUGAUGACUAUAUUGUAUAAAUUUAAG
rnacentral:lncRNA from 1 species